rnacentral:rRNA from 1 species
UUUUGUUUGGAGAGUUUGAUCCUGGCUCAGGACGAACGCUGGCGGCGUGCUUAACACAUGCAAGUCGAACGGAAAGGCCCCUUCGGGGGUACUCGAGUGGCGAACGGGUGAGUAACACGUGGGUAAUCUGCCCUGCACUUCGGGAUAAGCCUGGGAAACUGGGUCUAAUACCGGAUAGGACCACUUGGCGCAUGCCUUGUGGUGGAAAGCUUUUUGCGGUGUGGGAUGGGCCCGCG